CCUACGGGUGGCAGCAGUGGGGAAUAUUGCGCAAUGGAGGAAACUCUGAUGCAGCGACGCCGCGUGAAUGAAGAAGGAAUUCGUUAUGUAAACCUCUAUCACGAGGGAAGAAGAUGAAGGUAACUGAAUAAGAAGGCCCCGCGAAAUACGUGCCAGGAGCCGCGGUAAUACGGAGGGGUCAAGGGUUUUCCGGAUUUAUCGGGGUUAAAGGGUGUGUAGGCGGGCGGAUAAGUUAGAGGUGAAAUGCCGAGGCUCAACUGCGGAAUUGCACCUGAUAAUGGUCGGCUAGAGAGUAGUAGCGGUAGGUGGAAUGUACGGUGUAGCGGUGAAAUGCGUAGAGAUCGUACAGAACACCGGUUGCGAAGGCGGCUUACCAAGCUAUAUCUGACGUUGAGGCACGAAAGCGUGGGGAGCAAACAGGAUUAGAUACCCGAGUAGUC
rnacentral:rRNA from 1 species